rnacentral:rRNA from 1 species
GAGUCUUGUAGAGGGGGGUAGAAUUCCAGGUGUAGCGGUGAAAUGCGUAGAGAUCUGGAGGACUACCGGUGGCGAAGGCGGCCCCCUGGACAAAGACUGACGCUCAGGUGCGAAAGCGUGGGGAGCAAACAGGAUUAGAUCGCACGCAGGCGGUCUGUCAAGUCGGAUGUGAAAUCCCCGGGCUCAACCUGGGAACUGCAUUCGAAACUGGCAGGC